rnacentral:rRNA from 1 species
UACGGAGGGUGCAAGCGUUAUCCGGAAUCAUUGGGUUUAAAGGGUACGUAGGCGGUAUUAUAAGUCAGAGGUGAAAGUCUGCAGCUCAACUGUAGAAUUGCCUUUGAUACUGUAAUACUUGAGAUAGGAUGCCGUUGGCGGAAUGUGUAGUGUAGCGGUGAAAUGCUUAGAUAUUACACAGAACACCGAUUGCGAAGGCAGCUGACGAGGCCUUAUCUGACGCUGAGGUACGAAAGCGUGGGUAGCGAACGGG